rnacentral:rRNA from 1 species
AUUGAACGCUGGCGGAAUGCUUUACACAUGCAAGUCGAACGGCAGCACGGACUUCGGUCUGGUGGCGAGUGGCGAACGGGUGAGUAAUGUAUCGGAACGUGCCCAGUCGUGGGGAUAACGUAGUGAAAAUUACGCUAAUACCGCAUACGAUCUAUGGAUGAAAGCGGGGGAUCGCAAGCCCUCGCGCGAUUUGAGCGGCCGAUAUCAGAUUAGGUAGUUGGUGGGGUAAAGGCCCACCAAGCCAACGAUCUGUAGCUGGUCUGAGAGGACGACCAGCCACACUGGAACUGAGACACGGUCCAGACUCCUACGGGAGGCAGCAGUGGGGAAUUUUGGACAAUGGGCGAAAGCCUGAUCCAGCCAUUCCGCGUGCAGGAUGAAGGCCCUCGGGUUGUAAACUGCUUUUGUACAGAACGAAAAGGUUUCUACUAAUACUAGGAGCUCAUGACGGUACUGUAAGAAUAAGCACCGGCUAACUACGUGCCAGCCGCCGCGGUAA